AUUGAACGCUGGCGGCAGGCUUAACACAUGCAAGUCGAGCGAGCGGCGGACGGGUGAGUAAUGUCUGGGAAACUGCCUGAUGGAGGGGGAUAACUACGGGAAACGGUAGCUAAUACCGCAUAACAUCAGAUGUGCCAAGAUGGGAUUCGCUAGUAGGUGGGGUAAUGGCUCACAUAGGCGACGAUCCCUAGCUGGUAUGAGAGGAUGACCAGCCACCCUGGAACUGAGACACGGUCCACACUCCUACGGGAGGCAGCAGUGGGGAAUAGUGCAAAAGGGGCGCAAGCCUGAUGCAGCCAUGCCGCGUGGGUGAAGAAGGCCUUCGGGUUGUAAAGCACUUUCAGCGAGUAGGCGUUAAUCGCAGAAGAAGCACCGGCUAACUCCGUGCCAGCAGCCGCGGUAAUUC
rnacentral:rRNA from 1 species